rnacentral:rRNA from 1 species
AUUGAACGCUGGCGGCAUGCCUUACACAUGCAAGUCGAACGGUAGAGGGGCAACCCUUGAGAGUGGCGAACGGGUGAGUAAUAUAUCGGAACGUGCCCAGUCGUGGGGGAUAACGCAGCGAAAGCUGCGCUAAUACCGCAUACGAUCUAUGGAUGAAAGCGAGGGAUCGCAAGACCUCGCGCGAUUGGAGCGGCCGAUAUCAGAUUAGGUAGUUGGUGGGGUAAAAGCCCACCAAGCCGACGAUCUGUAGCUGGUCUGAGAGGACGACCAGCCACACUGGGACUGAGACACGGCCCAGACGCCUACGGGAGGCAGCAGUGGGGAAUUUUGGACAAUGGGCGCAAGCCUGAUCCAGCAAUGCCGCGUGCAGGACGAAGGCCUUCGGGUUGUAAACUGCUUUUGUACGGAGCGAAACGGUCUGGGUUAAUACCCUGGGCUAAUGACGGUACCGUAAGAAUAAGCACCGGCUAACUACGUGCCAGCCGCCGCCGUAACAC